rnacentral:rRNA from 1 species
GACGAACCGUGCGAACGUUAUUCGGAAUCACUGGGCUUAAAGCGCGUGUAGGCGGGUCGGCGCGUCGGACGCUGAAAUCCCCCGGCUCAACCGGGGAAGGGGCGCCGAUACGGCCGGCCUGGAGGGACGUAGGGGGGGGCUGGAACUUCCGGUGGAGCGGUGAAAUGCGUUGAGAUCGGAAGGAACGCCCGUGGCGAAAGCGAGGUCCUGGACGUCUACUGACGCUGAGACGCGAAAGCUAGGGUAGCGGAACGGGA